rnacentral:lncRNA from 10 species
AAACAAGAAAAAGUGAGUAACUUAAAUCCAAAGCAGAAUAAAUAAUAAAAUGGAGAGCAGAAACCGAUAAAAUUGAAAACAGAGAAAACAAAAACAAAAACUCAUUCUUUGAAAAGAUCAAUGAAAUUCAUAAGCCCCUACCCAGGCCAACAGAAAAUAAAGAGGAAUUACACAAAUGACUAAUAUCAGAAAUAAAAACAUCCUCAUGAGUAGGGAGUCAACAGCAGAGUGCUGAGUUAGAACAUCGCUUUGUGGCAAUGAAGAAUGCCCUUGAAGACAUGGUACGCCCCAUUACUCAGUGCCUUACUAUGCCAAAGCAAUGGCAGGAAAAGCUUUGUUUCCUUGAAGGCAUGGGUACUUUUCAUUCAUUUUGCCAAUAAUAACUGGCCAGAGAACUGACUGUACGUUCCUACUGUUUCAGCUGCCUGGAGACUUUGAACAAAGACUGUAGUUAAAUUAUUACAAAGAAUUGAGGUUUUAUAGUAUACAAAUUUGUUCUCAUUUGUCUCAGUCUUGAUUUCUUACUCAAAUUGUGUUUUUGAAAUCAUUCUUUUCUUUUUAUUGUUUCUUUGCUUGUAAUAUGUUAUUUUUAAAGAUACAGUUGUCUUAGGUCACUCCUAUGUCAAAUAUUUUGCCUAAUGAAGCAGAAGAGGUGGUAAGAGAAAUAUCUAG